rnacentral:sRNA from 1 species
GGGCUCGGGGGUCCCAGUUCCGAA